rnacentral:rRNA from 1 species
UACGAAGGGGGCUAGCGUUGCUCGGAAUUACUGGGCGUAAAGGGCGCGUAGGCGGCACUGUUAGUCAGGCGUGAAAUUCCUGGGCUCAACCUGGGGACUGCGCUUGAUACGGCAGAGCUUGUGGAUGGAAGAGGGUCGCGGAAUUCCCAGUGUAGAGGUGAAAUUCGUAGAUAUUGGGAAGAACACCGGUGGCGAAGGCGGCGACCUGGUCCAUUACUGACGCUGAGGCGCGACAGCGUGGGGAGCAAACAGG